rnacentral:rRNA from 1 species
AUUGAACGCUGGCGGCAGGCCUAAUACAUGCAAGUCGAGCGGAGCGGAGGACGGGUGAGUAAUGCCUAGGAAUCUGCCUGGUAGUGGGGGAUAAAGUCGGGAAACGGGCAAUAAUACCGAAUACUAUCAGAUGAGCCUAGGUCGGAUUAGCUAGUUGGUGGGUUAAAGGCCUACCAAGGCGACGAGCCGUAACUGGUCUGAGAGGAUGAUCCAGCACACUGGAAUGGAGACACGGUCCAGACGCCUACGGGAGGCAGCAGUGGGGAAUAUUGGACAAUGGGCUAAAGCAUGAUCCAGCCAUGCCGCGUGUGUGAAGAAGGUCUUCGGAUUGUAAAGCACUUUAAGUUGGGAGGCGUUACCAACAGAAUACGCACCGGCUAACUUCGUGCCAGCAGCCGCGGUAAUAC